rnacentral:rRNA from 1 species
AUUGAACGCUGGCGGCAUGCCUUACACAUGCAAGUCGAACGGCAGCACGGACUUCGGUCUGGUGGCGAGUGGCGAACGGGUGAGUAACAUAUCGGAACGUAUCCAAUAAUGGGGGAUAACUAAUCGAAAGGUUGGCUAAUACCGCAUACGCCCUACGGGGGAAAGCUAGGGACCUUCGGGCCUGGCGUUAAUGGAGCGGCCGAUAUCUGAUUAGCCAGUUGGUGGGGUAAAGGCCCACCAAGGCGACGAUCAGUAGCUGGUCUGAGAGGACGACCAGCCACACUGGAACUGAGACACGGUCCAGACUCCUACGGGAGGCAGCAGUGGGGAAUUUUGGACAAUGGGCGCAAGCCUGAUCCAGCCAUUCCGCGUGAGUGAAGAAGGCCUUCGGGUUGUAAAGCUCUUUCGCAAGGGAAGAAAACUUAGCCUCUAACAUAGGCUGAGGUUGACGGUACCUUGAUAAGAAGCACCGGCUAACUACGUGCCAGCAGCCGCAGUAACAC